AACGAACGCUGGCGGCAGGCCUAACACAUGCAAGUCGAACGAGAUCUUCGGAUCUAGUGGCGGACGGGUGAGUAACGCGUGGGAACGUGCCCUUCUCUACGGAAUAGUCCUGGGAAACUGGGUUUAAUACCGUAUACCGCCCGUUACGGGGGAAAGUAAGUUUCGGGGAAGGAUCCGGCCCGCGUUGGAUUAGGUAGUUGGUGGGGUAAUGGCCUACCAGCCGACGAUCCAUAGCUGGUUUGAGAGGAUGAUCAGCCACACUGGGACUGAGACACGGCCCAGACUCCUACGGGAGGCAGCAGUGGGGAAUCUUAGACAAGUGGGGG
rnacentral:rRNA from 1 species